UCACACUCCACUCCCUCAUACCUUCCUCCCCUUCCUCCCCACGAGCUGCUGCUCCCCCUUGCUCACAUGGCCGGCCAUGGCCAUAGAAAUCCACCAAGAUGAAGCUCCCCUCCUCCCUCAAGCUUCCCCUCACCAUGAGAGCUUCCCUCUCACUCUCUUCUCCCCUAACCCUAGCUGAAUCCCCCUCUAUUUAUCCUUUCUCCUCUCACAAGAUUGGAUCUUGAUGCAGGUGCAUGUUGGUCCAAGCAUGGAGAGGGUUGAGCAAUCCUCUUUUUUUUUUUUUUUUGCGAAUGUGGUUAAGCAAUCCUCAGAUCUGAAACUCUUGAUCCAAAUCCAAAUCGAGUGAUUCAAAGUUCCAAAGAUAGGUAUUGAAAAGAUCUACAACGUGGCGUUGGUCUCAUCCUCAAAUUAGUUACGGAUUUUGCAUGAUCAAGAUCUGGUCAGAUCUGACUUUGUCGAAUUAAACCAGGAGCUUGGAAACGAAUUUUUGAAUGAAACCAAUUGGGGGAUAAUUGGUUUAUACCAUGGUGAUAACCGAGAGAGGCAAUUGCUAAAGUUGUGAUGCACUCAUACCUUUACUAGAUGCAAACAAUUCCGGAGAAGAAGAAGAAGUGGAAUCGGACGAGGAUUUUAUUUAUAUAUGUUGUUGGAAUUCUUAUAUUGAUGGAUUUGACGAAGUAUAGGGACAAAUAAGC